rnacentral:rRNA from 1 species
UGCGCAGGCGGUUUUGUAAGUCUGAUGUGAAAUCCCCGGGCUCAACCUGGGAAUUGCAUUGGAGACUGCAAGGCUAGAAUCUGGCGGAGGGGGGUAGAAUUCCACGUGUAGCAGUGAAAUGCGUAGAUAUGUGGAGGAACACCGAUGGCGAAGGCAGCCCCCUGGGUCAAGAUUGACGCUCAUGCACGAAAGCGUGGGGAGCAAACAGGAUUAGAUACCCUGGUAGUCCACGCCCUAAACGAUGUCUACUAGUUGUCGGGUCUUAAUUGACUUGGUAACGCAGCUAACGCGUGAAGUAGACCGCCUGGGGAGUACGGUCGCAAGAUUAAA